GAUGAAGAACGGAGUGAAAUGCGAUAAGUAGUGUGAAUUGCAGAAUUCAGUGAAUCAUCGAAUCUUUGAACGCACAUUGCGCCCUUUGGUAUUCCAAAGGGCAUGCCUGUUCGAGCGUCAUUUGUACCCUCAAGCUUUGCUUGGUGUUGGGCGUCUUGUCUCUAGCUUUGCUGGAGACUCGCCUUAAAGUAAUUGGCAGCCGGCCUACUGGUUUCGGAGCGCAGCACAAGUCGCACUCUCUAUCAGCAAAGGUCUAGCAUCCAUUAAGCCUUUUUUUCAACUUUUGACCUCGGAUCAGGAAGGGAUACCCGCUGAACUUAAGCAUAUCAAUAAGCGGAGGA
rnacentral:misc_RNA from 1 species